rnacentral:rRNA from 1 species
UGGGGAAUUUUGGACAAUGGGCGAAAGCCUGAUCCAGCCAUGCCGCGUGAGUGAAGAAGGCCUUCGGGUUGUAAAGCUCUUUUAGUCGGAAAGAAAGAGUUGCAAUGAAUAAUUGUGAUUUAUGACGGUACCGACAGAAAAAGCACCGGCUAACUACGUGCCAGCAGCCGCGGUAAUACGUAGGGUGCGAGCGUUAAUCGGAAUUACUGGGCGUAAAGGGUGCGCAGGCGGUUCUGCAAGUCAGAUGUGAAAGCCCCGGGCUUAACCUGGGAAUUGCGUUUGAAACUACAAGGCUAGAGUGCAGCAGAGGGGAGUGGAAUUCCAUGUGUAGCAGUGAAAUGCGUAGAGAUGUGGAAGAACACCGAUGGCGAAGGCAGCUCCCUGGGUUGACACUGACGCUCAUGCACGAAAGCGUGGGGAGCAAACA